rnacentral:rRNA from 1 species
AACGAACGCUGGCGGCAGGCUUAACACAUGCAAGUCGAGCGCCCCGCAAGGGGAGCGGCAGACGGGUGAGUAACGCGUGGGAAUCUACCCAUCUCUACGGAAUAACGCAUGGAAACGUGUGCUAAUACCGUAUACGUCCUUCGAGAGAAAGAUUUAUCGGAGAUGGAUGAGCCCGCGUUGGAUUAGCUAGUUGGUGGGGUAAAGGCCUACCAAGGCGACGAUCCAUAGCUGGUCCGAGAGGAUGAUCAGCCACACUGGGACUGAGACACGGCCCAGACUCCGACGGGAGGCAGCAGUGGGGAAUAUUGGACAAUGGGCGCAAGCCUGAUCCAGCCAUGCCGCGUGAGUGAUGAAGGCCCUAGGGUUGUAAAGCUCUUUCACCGGUGAAGAUAAUGACGGUAACCGGAGAAGAAGCCCCGGCUAACUUCGUGCCAGCCGCCGCCGUAAAAC